CGUGUAGGCGGCCAGGUAAGUCAGAUGUGAAAAACCCUUGGCUUAACCAAGGAAGUGCAUUUGAAACUGUCUGGCUUGAGUACGGGAGGGGGAAGCGGAAUUCCCGGUGUAGAGGUGAAAUUCGUAGAUAUCGGGAGGAACACCGGUGGCGAAGGCGGCUUUCUGGACCGAUACUGACGCUGAGACGCGAAAGCGUGGGGAGCAAACAGGAUUAGAUACCCUGGUAGUCCACGCCGUAAACUUUGGGCACUUGGUGUUGCGGGUAUUGACCCCUGCAGUGCCGAAGCUAACGCAUUAAGUGCCCCGCCUGGGGAGUACGGUCGCAAGGCUAAA
rnacentral:rRNA from 1 species